AGUAUAACAUACGCAUAGGCCUGCCUUGCUAGCAGUAUAUGCACAGAGCUUGGUGAUCAGAAACGAAACUCAAUAUAUAUAAAGCUUAAAAAAGCCCACUCAAUGCCAGGAGCUGAUAAUGGGAAAAGCACACACACACACACACACACACACACACACACACACACACACACACACACACACACAUCAAUAAAAAAAAAAUCAAUAACUAAAAUAAUAAUGAACAAUAAUAUAUGUAAGUAUAUGUCAGGAUAAGUAAAUGCACCUAAAAUCAAACUUCCUG